rnacentral:rRNA from 1 species
GGGGGGAAAUUGGAAAUGGGCGCAGCCUGAUCAUCCUGCCGCGUGUGUGAUGAAGGCCUUCGGGUUGUAAAGCUCUUUUACCAGGGAAGAAAAGGACCGUACUAGUAGAAGAUUCUCCGGACAAUUCCGUGCGAACAGCCGCCGGCAUACUCGUGCCGGCGGCCGCGAUAAUA